GAUCCUGGCUCAGAACGAACGCUGGCGGCGUGCCUAACACAUGCAAGUCGAACGAGAAAGGGGCUUCGGCUCCGAAUAAAGUGGCGCACGGGUGAGUAACACGUAGGUAACCUGCCUCUAAGAUUGGGAUAACCUGUCGAAAGACGAGCUAAUACCGAAUAAGACCACGGCUUCCUCGGAAGCAGGGGUCAAAGGUAGCCUCUACUUGUAAGCUAUCACUUAGAGAUUGGCCUGCGUACCAUUAGCUAGUUUGUGGGGUAACGGCCCACCAAGGCAAAGAUGGUUAGCUGGUCUGAGAGGAUGAUCAG
rnacentral:rRNA from 1 species